rnacentral:rRNA from 1 species
UACGUAGGGUGCAAGCGUUAAUCGGAAUUACUGGGCGUAAAGCGUGCGCAGGCGGCUUUGCAAGACAGAUGUGAAAUCCCCGGGCUUAACCUGGGAACUGCAUUUGUGACUGCAUCGCUGGAGUGCGGCAGAGGGGGAUGGAAUUCCGCGUGUAGCAGUGAAAUGCGUAGAUAUGCGGAGGAACACCGAUGGCGAAGGCAAUCCCCUGGGCCUGCACUGACGCUCAUGCACGAAAGCGUGGGGAGCAAACAGG